rnacentral:rRNA from 1 species
GGAUGAACGUUGGCGGUGUGCCUAAUACAUGCAAGUCGAACGGAGUUAAUAGCAAUAUUGACUUAGUGGCGAACGGGUGAGUAACGCGUUGGUGAUCUGCCUCGAAGUGUGGAAUAACGUUCCGAAAGGAACGCUAAUACCGCAUGUGCUCUCGAUUUUUAGAAAGUUGAGAGUAAAGGAUUUAUUCGCUUCGAGAGGAGCCUGCGUCCCAUCAGCUGGUUGGUAGGGUAACGGCCUACCAAGGCUAUGACGGGUAGGGGACCUGAGAGGGUGGCCCCCCACAAUGGAACUGAAACACGGUCCAUACACCUACGGGUGGCAGCAGUAGGGAAUAUUAGAAAUGGACGAAAGUCUGAUCUAGCAACACCGCGUGUGCGAAGAAGGCCUUCGGGUCGUAAAGCACUUUUUGGAAGGAAUAGGAAGGAAUGUACUUCCAGAAUAAGUCUCGGCUAACUACGUGCCAGCAGCCGCGGUAACACGUAGGAGGCAAACGUUAUCCGGAUUUACUGGGCGUAAAGCGCGUGUAGGUGGUUCUGUAAGUAGGGCGUGAAAGCUCCCGGCUCAACUGGGAGAGGCCGUUCUAAACUACAGAACUAGAGGAUGGUAGAGGGAGGUGGAAUUCCAGGUGUAGCGGUGGNNNUGCGCAGAUAUCUGGAGGAACACCAGUGGCGAAGGCGGCCUCCUGGACCAUUCCUGACACUCAGACGCGAAAGCUAGGGUAGCAAACGGGAUUAGAGACCCCGGUAGUCCUAGCCCUAAACGAUGUAGACUAGGCGUCGGAAGUUUAAUCACUUUCGGUGUCCAAGCUAACGCGAUAAGUCUACCGCCUGGGGACUACGGCCGCAAGGUUAAAACUCAAGGGAAUUGACGGGUCCCCGCACAAGCAGCGGAGCGUGUGGUUUAAUUCGUUGCUACACGAAGAACCUUACCUGGGUUUGACAUAGCAGUGGUAGGGAAGCGAAAGCGGACCGACCCUUCGGGGAGCUGUUACAGGUGUUGCAUGGCUGUCGUCAGCUCGUGUCGUGAGAUGUUCGGUUAAGUCCGCUAACGAGCGCAACCCGCGUUGUGUGUUACAAGUGUCACACAAUACCGCCGGUAUUAAGUCGGAGGAAGGUGCGGAUGACGUCAAGUCAGCAUGACCUUUAUAUCCAGGGCUACACACACGCUACAAUGGUCAGCACAAUAGGUUGCCAAGUCGUGAGACGGAGCCAAUCCUCCAAAGCUGGCCUCAGUUCAGAUUGUAGGCUGCAACCCGCCUGCAUGAAGUUGGAGUUGCUAGUAACCGCAGGUCAGCUAUACUGCGGUGAAUACGUUCCCGGGGAU